UUUUAUGGAGAGUUUGAUCCUGGCUCAGGAUGAACGCUGGCGGCGUGCCUAAUACAUGCAAGUCGAGCGAACAGACGAGGAGCUUGCUCCUCUGACGUUAGCGGCGGACGGGUGAGUAACACGUGGAUAACCUACCUAUAAGACUGGGAUAACUUCGGGAAACCGGAGCUAAUACCGGAUAAUAUAUUGAACCGCAUGGUUCAAUAGUGAAAGACGGUUUUGCUGUCACUUAUAGAUGGAUCCGCGCCGCAUUAGCUAGUUGGUAAGGUAACGGCUUACCAAGGCGACGAUGCGUAGCCGACCUGAGAGGGUGAUCGGCCACACUGGAACUGAGACACGGUCCAGACUCCUACGGGAGGCAGCCGUAGGGAAUCUUCCGCCAUGGGCGACAGCCUGACGGAGCAACGCCGCGUGCGUGAUGAAGGUCUUCGGAUCGUAAAACUCUGCUAUUCGGGAAGCACAAAUGU
rnacentral:rRNA from 1 species